GUCUAUAUCACAUUGCAACACCGAUUCUCGUACAAUCACCGAAGUUAAGCAACGCCGCGCCUCUUCAGUACCUAGAUUGGUGACCGCUUGGAAAUACCAGGUGCUGUAGG